rnacentral:rRNA from 1 species
UACGUAGGGGGCGAGCGUUAUCCGGAUUUACUGGGUGUAAAGGGCGCGUAGGCGGUUAUUUAAGUUAGAUGUGAAAUCCCAAGGCUCAACUUUGGAACUGCAUCUAAAACUGGGUAACUAGAGUGCAGGAGAGGAAAGCGGAAUUCUCAGUGUAGCGGUGAAAUGCGUAGAUAUUGAGAGGAACACCGGUGGCGAAGGCGGCUUUCUGGACUGUAACUGACGCUGAGGCGCGAAAGCGUGGGGAGCAAACAGG